UACGGUGGGAGGGGUGGAGUUG
rnacentral:miRNA from 1 species